UGGGGAAUAUUGGGCAAUGGGCGCAAGCCUGACCCAGCAACGCCGCGUGAGGGAAGAAGGCUUUCGGGUUGUAAACCUCUGUCCUUGGUGACGAAACAAAUGACGGUAGCCAAGGAGGAAGCCCCGGCUAACUACGUGCCAGCAGCCGCGGUAAUACGUAGGGGGCGAGCGUUGUCCGGAAUUACUGGGCGUAAAGGGUGCGUAGGUGGCCUUUUAAGUUGGAUGUCAAAUACCCGGGCUUAACCUGGGGGGUGCAUCUAAUACUGGGAGGCUAGAGUGCAGGAGAGGAGAGCGGAAUUCCUAGUGUAGCGGUGAAAUGCGUAGAUAUUAGGAGGAACACCAGUGGCGAAGGCGGCUUUCUGGACUGUAACUGACACUGAGGCACGAAAGCGUGGGGAGCAAAC
rnacentral:rRNA from 1 species